rnacentral:rRNA from 1 species
UACGGGGGGGGCAAGCGUUGUUCGGAAUCACUGGGCGUAAAGGGCGCGUAGGUGGCAUGAUAAGGGUGUGGUGAAAGCCCGGGGCUCAACCCCGGGUCUGCCAUGCCGACUGUCACGCUAGAGUACUGUAGGGGCAGGCGGAAUUCCGGGUGUAGCGGUGGAAUGCGUAGAGAUCCGGAGGAAGACCGGUGGCGAAGGCGGCCUGCUGGGCAGUUACUGACACUGAUGCGCGAAAGCCAGGGGAGCGAACGGG